rnacentral:lncRNA from 1 species
UCGUUUCUAGCCAUUUCACAACACAAGUGGAACCUUUCACUUGUGAUCUUAAAAUGUUUGGUGGUCUACUCUCUUCUUGAGAGGAAAUAUGAUGUUCAAUAUUACAAGUGUUUUCAAGAAUGAACUACCUAAAGAACAAGGCUAACGAAAAUGUUUAAAUAGUCUAUUACAAAAGAUAUUGGGAAAGGACUCCUUUGCCCUUAAUGAGGUUGGCGGGUGUGGAGUGUAUUUGGGGAAGCCUUGGGUGUAUUUUUCAGCACCUAAGGCCAGACCUCGUAUGUCAAGGCGUACACUCCCUUGGGCACGUUCACAACAAGCUCAAACGCAUUUAUUUUCAUAAACGUGCCUUGUAGUCUUUGUAGUUCCCGAGCUUGGACAAGGAUUUGAAAAAGGUCUUCAAUUCACUUUGCAAAUCUGAAAUUUGACCUUUAACAAAAACUUGUGAUCCUUGUGCUCCUCAUGCUUGUAGCAUCCUCUCCACAUUCAAAGGAAUUUGUUCUUAAAUUCGCACCUUGCAAAACCAAAGAGAGGGAAAACAAGCACACAAUCCUCAAGAUAGGAGGGUUAAAAUUAGUACCACAAAUUAUAUAGACAUGCCAAGGGCAUACACUUUUGGAAUACAAGCAACAAUUCUUUGUUACGAUCAUGAAACACGUACCAUAAGCAUAACAAAGAACAUGGCUAAGAUAAACAUCAAGGAAAGAGGAGUGCAAUCUGAAACUAUCAUAUAUGUCAUUAAGUCAAGGUUGUUCACAUUUGGAAUAUACCCACGGGUCCUUUGUGUGUGACAUGAAAAACUUAGCAUGAAUGACACAAAGGAAGUGACUUUGGCAAAUAUCAAGAGAUAAGAAAACUACAAUGGUCUUAAUGGCUUUACAAUACCCAAAAGGUAAGACUACCUUUAUCUUAGGAACCAUAAGAUACAUUUGUUUCAUUACCUUUACAAAGGACCUCAUCAAAUAUAGUGCCACUAUUGAUCUUAAGAUCCACCUCAACCACAUAUCACCAUCAUGCAAGCAAGAAAACCAUCCACCAAACUUCCUUCCACUACACAAUACAAAUUCAAAAUUAACAUGGUUAUUAUCAUAGUUAAAGAGGUAGUAUAGAAAGGAAUAAAGUGUGAAGACAUCUUGCCGAGGGCGUACACUUUUAAAAUUUGACCAGUAAUCCUUUAUUUUUACCAUGAAACACGUAUUUUGAAAAUUACAAAGGAUAGGGAUAAGAUAAUCAUCAAGGAAAGAUAAGCAUAAGCCGAGGCAACUCCUUUUCCAAUCCACUAGUAUUCCGAGAGCAAAAGGAUGGUGUAACCAAGGGUAUAACUCGAGAUUAACCAAUCCUUUUACUAGGAUAUCAUCCAAGACUAAAGAUUUGUGGCCUAGAAGUCUUCUCUUAAUAGAAAGCACACCUUUAUUCAAAAGUUUUCCAAGCAUAUGAUUACCUUGAUCAAAACUAGUAACACAAUUUGCAUCACACAAGCUCAAAGGAAUAUGUCCAAUAUCAUGGUCAAUAUUACAAGAAUGAACACUAACUUGAGAAUUUUGAAUCACAUCACUCACAUGGUCAAGUAGUGAACUAUCCAUAAGAGAAAAUUGACCAACAUAUGCAACAAGAGAACUACCAAGGAAAGAUUUAUGCCUUUCUACACUAUGUAAAACCGAAGCUACUUCACAUUGGAUACUAAUAUCCUUAUCACAACAUUUCAAGCAUAAUGAAGUGUAGAGUGUAGCAGUUAUACCUCGGUGUAUGCCAUAAUAUUCCACUUGUUUGGAUCUCUCGGCCAAGGAUGUCACUAGCUCAUUUCCCAUGUUAUCAUGUGGAACCCCUUUUUGAUCAUUAUUUGAUAGCAUAUGAACUUGAACCUAUACAUAAGAAGGAUCAAUGCUAGGAAAAGUGAUAGAAUGUGGGUUAGUGAGCAUCAAAUAUCCUUUGUGGGCAAAUCCCAUAAGCACAUUUUUCUUUUUCUUUCCUACUUCACUGCCCGCGGUUUUUCUUUCCCUUGCCCUCUUUUCUUCACAUUCUUCUUGUACCUGACCACUAAGUUUCUCUCCAUCUUGAGGCUUGAACUCAUUCUCCUUGGAUCCUAACUCUCCCUCUUUUUCUACUUAGAUGGGGUAUUUCUAGGUUAGUGUAGCUUGGGAAGGAGACAUUGGAUUUAGUAGAGUGUAGGGUCUUUGAAUUGGAGGAUUUUGGAGUGGAGGAUUCGGGUUUAGGGAUAGAAUUUUGGUUCCAAGUCCUCCUUGUGGAACUUGGUGGAGUGAAGAAUGGCUAGGUCUAUCUUGUUCUCGGCUUUGGGACUAAAGAUUGACUUGGUUUGUAGCACUUGGUGGAUACAAUAUUUGGUGCAAGGUUUCGGGAGUAAUAGUAGGUGAGGUGGUUUGAGGGGUAUGAGGUCGAGAAAUCCUUUGGCUUUCCAUCCUCUCCAACCUCUCACUCAUUAAGG